rnacentral:lncRNA from 1 species
AAAGAGGUUAAAAUUACCAAAAUAUCUCUGACUUUCAACACUAAUAACUUCUUCGUUAUAAUUCUGUUUCACGAAUGGUUUGCACCUAUGCAUUCAUGAGAUCGAGCUCUAUUCAAACAUAUAAAUUGUCACCUCGAAAGGUUUACGAAUUUUAGAUCAUUAAUUUCCAAAGAAGGUUAAAAUUACCAAAAUAUCCCUAACUUUCAACGUUAAUAACUUAUUCGUUCUAACUCCGUUUCACAAACGGUUAGCGCUUACGCGUUCGUGAGAUUGAGCUCUAUUCAAACAUAUAAAUUGUGACCUCAAAAGGUCUACAAAUUUUAGAUCAUUAAUUUCCAAACUUCAAAUUUCUUAACGAGUUUAACUUAAAACUCAAUUCAAAUAAAUUAAUAUAAAUUCUCAAAAAAUAAUAUAAAAUCUCAAUAAUAAAAAUACAUAAAUUAUAAUAAUUUCCAGUAACAAAAUUUUAAAAUUCCUCAAUUAAAUUUCCAUAACCAUAAAUCGAUAUAUUUUCGAUUUUCCUCCACAUAUUCAUAUAUUUAAAUUUUCAAGGUAUUACAUUGUAACUCAUAGGGGUUGAGGUAGGGGUAGGUAAUCACUACCUAGAGCUAUAGGAUACAGUCCUGCUUGGUAUAUCCGUGAUGGGUGAUCACUGCCUACGUUAUUAGACUAUGCAUAUGGUUCUGCUUUGUUUAUCCGCAAUGAAGGACCAUGCGCAUUCUAGGAGUGAUCAUGCUUGGUAUAUCCACAAUGGGUGAUCACUACCUAGAGUUUGGAUGUGGUCCUACUUGGUAUAUCCGCGAUGGGUGAUCACUGUCUGCACGCUUAGAUUAUGCCUAUGGUUCUGCUUGGUAUAUCCAUAAUAGGGGACCAUACGUGUGAAAUCCCGUCCCAAAUUUCACUAUUUAAAAUUACAUACUUUGUAUUUCAUAUUCGUAUUUGUAGUUUUGACGUUUUUAUAUUUACGGUGUUUAGUUAUUUUUAUGAGUAAAAGGACGAAAUUGCCCCUAUUGUAUUAAACGAGAUUCUUCACGGACUUAUUUGAUCCUUUCAUUAUUUUCCAAUUUCUUUACAUAUUCGGAUAGGACAUCUCGCUACGAAUGCGUCAGCACAAACAGAAUGUAAUUUGGAGUUAUAACGAAAAAGAUAUAAAUGAACAAAGAUAUGGACAAAAUGGUCAUUUAAUUAUUAAUCUGGAAGGCUCUAGAUUUGCUGGAGCUUUGAUCUGGAGUUACGUGUGUGGCUGUGAUGGAAAGAAAAAAGAGAAAUGAGAGACAGAAGAUGUGGGAUUGCCCA